rnacentral:lncRNA from 1 species
AUGAUGCUGAAAGCCCUCAUCAGCCACACCAGAGCUUUUCCUCUUCUCCUUACACCUCUUCCUUCAUCUGAACUUUUAAACCCUGUGUCUGGUGAAGCUUUUUGCAGUAACUCAAGCCUUGGAGAAUCAUUAAUAACGUGCUGUUUUCACAGUGACACCAACAUGAGCUGCCAAAACACCAAACACCAACAGCCAGUCCUGCCCAGAAGAGCGGAGCGUGGGGACGCACCAUCUCCUCCCCAUAACUUGGUACUCUGAGGUUAGUGAGAGUGUUCUCAGAGCAAACCCCAUCCUACACGAGCCGUUGCUGGUGAGACCCAGCUGCGUACGCUGUGCUGCAGAGCAGGAUCAGCACUGCCAUCCAGACUCUGCCUGUGCCCGAUGCACAAAACCGUGCGUUUGAGGAAGUACUUCUGGAGUUUGAAAAGGUCCAGGUGAAUUAAAGAGGAGAGAAAGGGAGAAAAAAAAAAAAAAAAAGUAGGGACCGAUUAAACGGCAUAAAUAAAUAAAUAACACACACCAGAUUUCAGCUCCGAGGCGCUCAAUAAAAUUACACUUUGAAAUGCAAGGAUUAAGCAGGGUAGGUGACAAGGUAACUUUGUUAACAGGCUAAUCUCUCGCCUUAACAGAGACAGGGGAUUUACAUGUGACUGCACAGAACUGCUUUAUGGCCUCUUUUUUUUUUUCUUUUUUUUUUUUUUUUUCCAGCUGGAGAUGGUAGGAAGGGGCAGGAUGAGAUGGGACACGGCUGGGUAUUUUAAAGCCAUUUGUAAAACGGGUUUAAACUGUUGGGUUGUUUUUUAAAGGUUGUUCUUGUGUUUGUUCGAUUGUUUUUAAUGAGCAAGGCUGUAAGAAAAUGUGUAGCCAACAACCGGCUGUCUCCAAACAGUCCAGCAUUGCUGGGGUUUGAGCUGGCUGCGGGUGGAAGGACUGAGCCUGGAAGGAAACCCCGUGUGAAAUCCCCAGCCUGCUUUGCAGAUGUUGGGCUGCUUCUGGGUGAGAUUUCAGCUUUUACAGGCAGAUGUCUGAAACACUCCUGGUGGGCUCGGUGCCUCGCUGCAGUAAAUUCAGGGGGGAGCUGGAAGAAGUGGGGAGAGUCCUGA